GUAGUUUGAGUUUAGUUUCAGAUUAGAGGUUGUUGUCGCUGUAGUUUGAGUUUAGUUUCAGAUUAGAGGUUGUCAUCAAUGUAGUUUGAGUUUAGUUUCAGAUUAGAGGUUGUCAUCAAUGUAGUUUGAGUUUAGUUUCAGAUUGGAGGUUGUUGUCGAUGUAGUUUGAGUUUAGUUUCAGAUUAGAGGUUGUCAUCAAUGUAGUUUGAGUUUAGUUUCAGAUUGGAGGUUGUUGUCGCUGUAGUUUGAGUUUAGUUUCAGAUUGGAGGUUGUUGUCGCUGUAGUUUGAGUUUAGUUUCAGAUUGGAGGUUGUUGUCGCUGUAGUUUGAGUUUAGUUUCAGAUUGGAGGUUGUUGUCAAUGUAGUUUGAGUUUAGUUUCAGAUUAGAGGUUGUCAUCAAUGUAGUUUGAGUUUAGUUUCAGAUUGGAGGUUGUUGUCGCUGUAGUUUGAGUUUAGUUUCAGAUUGGAGGUUGUUGUCGCUGUAGUUUGAGUUUAGUUUCAGAUUGGAGGUUGUCAUCAAUGUAGUUUGAGUUUAGUUUCAGAUUAGAGGUUGUCAUCAAUGUAGUUUGAGUUUAGUUUCAGAUUAGAGGUUGUCAUCAAUGUAGUUUGAGUUUAGUUUCAGAUUAGAGGUUGUCAUCAAUGUAGUUUGAGUUUAGUUUCAGAUUAGAGGUUGUCAUCAAUGUAGUUUGAGUUUAGUUUCAGAUUAGAGGUUGUCAUCAAUGUAGUUUGAGUUUAGUUUCAGAUUAGAGGUUGUCAUCAAUGUAGUUUGAGUUUAGUUUCAGAUUAGAGGUUGUCAUCAAUGUAGUUUGAGUUUAGUUUCAGAUUAGAGGUUGUCAUCAAUGUAGUUUGAGUUUAGUUUCAGAUUGGAGGUUGUCAUCAAUGUAGUUUGAGUUUAGUUUCAGAUUAGAGGUUGUCAUCAAUGUAGUUUGAGUUUAGUUUCAGAUUAGAGGUUGUCAUCAAUGUAGUUUGAGUUUAGUUUCAGAUUGGAGGUUGUCAUCAAUGUAGUUUGAGUUUAGUUUCAGAUUAGAGGUUGUCAUCAAUGUAGUUUGAGUUUAGUUUCAGAUUGGAGGUUGUCAUCAAUGUAGUUUGAGUUUAGUUUCAUAUUGGAGGUUGUUGUCGCUGUAGUUUGAGUUUAGUUUCAGAUUAGAGGUUGUCAUCAAUGUAGUUUGAGUUUAGUUUCAGAUUAGAGGUUGUCAUCAAUGUAGUUUGAGUUUAGUUUCAGAUUGGAGGUUGUUGUCGCUGUAGUUU